rnacentral:rRNA from 1 species
GACGAGGGGUCCAAGCGUUGUUCGGAAUCAUUGGGCGUAAAGCGGGUGUAGGUGGCUCUGUAAGUCAGGAGUGAAAGCCCCAGCUUAACUUGGGAAGUGCUUUUGAUACUGCAGAGCUUGAAUGUGGGAGAGGGUAGUGGAAUUCCAGGUGUAGUGGUGAAAUACGUAGAUAUCUGGAGGAACACCGGUGGCGAAGGCGGCUACCUGGCCCAACAUUGACACUGAGACCCGAAAGCUGGGGAUCAAACAGG